rnacentral:lncRNA from 1 species
ACUCCGUUGCAGACACUGUUGGAACUCCUCCAUACCUCUCACCGGAAGAUCAUAAGGCAGCAGAGAAAAGUGUUCCGCAUCCGUCAAUAUUUGAUUAAAAUCACCCAUUAGUACUAGCGGAGACUCAGCCACCAAGUGAUUACUAGAAAGCGUAACUAGAUCUCUCCACAGGUUACUUCUUUCUGCCUAUGUAUUAUGCGCAUACACAAAGGCUACUGUGCACUCUACUCCGGUCGCAGGAUCAAUCACCCCACACACAAUAAACUGAUCCGUUUUUAGAUACACCACUACUGAUAAAGACGGUCUCCACAAAAGCCAGAUUUUACCUCCUGCGGCUUCCGAGUAAUUAUUCUCGAACCUCCACCCUGGAGCCACUGCCCCUAAAACACUGAGAAAAUUCUCCUCCUGUACAUGUGUUUCAAGCAAGGCCCCAACAGACGUCCCCAAACUCUGCAACCAACUUCUCACUACCCUCUAACGACCACUACCAUUCACACCUCUGAUAUUCCAACUAAAAAGCUUUAUAUGUACAAAUUGGGGCUUCAAGAAUUAUUUUCUAAGCUUCCUACCCGAGGUAGAUCCCCGCAUAACGCCUCCAUAAGCUUUUCGUAGUUCUUGCUGUCUCAAAGCCCGCCGAUAGCUCUUAGAGUGCUUAGUAAUCCACACUGAUUCCUCCUCUUUAGACUCAAAAG